GGCGUGCUUAACACAUGCAAGUCGAACGGACCUUGAAGAAAGAAGCUUUCGGGUGGAUUUUUUCGCUGGUUAGUGGCAGACGGGUGAGUAAUGCAUAAGUAACUUACACUUAAGUCUGGGAUAACCCCUGAAAAGAGAGCUAAUACCGGAUACACUCUUUUUUUCAUAAGUAAGAGAGAGGAAAGGUUUACUGCUUAAGGAUAGGCUUAUGUCUGAUUAGCUUGUUGGUGAGGUAAUGGCUUACCAAGGCGAUGAUCAGUAGCUGGUUUGAGAGGAUGAUCAGCCACACUGGGACUGAGACACGGCCCAGACUCCUACGGGAGGCAGCAGUGGGGAAUAUUGCGCAAUGGGGGCAACCCUGACGCAGCGACGCCGCGUGAGUGACGAAGUCUUUCGGGAUGUAAAGCUCUGUCGAGAGGGAAGAUAAUGACGGUACCUCUAAAGGAAGCCCCGGCUAAUUACGUGCCAGCAGCCGCGGUAAUACGUAAGGGGCAAGCGUUACCCGGAUUUAUUGGGCAUAAAGGGCAAGUAGGCGGUACUAUUAGUCAGAUGUUAAAUACCCAAGCUCAACUUGGGCCCGCAUUUGAAACUGUAGUACUAGAGGUCAGGAGAGGGAAGCGGAACACACAGUGUAGCGGUGAAAUGCGUAGAUAUUGUGUGGAACACCUGUUGCGAAGGCGGCUUCCUGGACUGAUUCUGACGCUGAGGUGCGAAAGCGUGGGGAGCGAACGGGAUUAGAUACCCCGGUAGUCCACGCCGUAAACUUUGUUCACUAGGUGUAGGAGGUAUCGACCCCUUCUGUGCCAAAGAUAAUUCGUUAAGUGAACCGCCUGGGGAGUACGACCGCAAGGUUAAAACUCAAAGGAAUUGACGGGGGCCCGCACAAGCAGUGGAGCAUGUGGUUUAAUUCGACGAUACACGAAGAACCUUACCAGGACUUGACAUCUGUAGAAGUCUCUAGAAACAGAGAUGUGCCCGCAAGGGAGCUACAAGACAGGUGGUGCAUGGCUGUCGUCAGCUCGUGUCGUGAGAUGUUGGGUUAAGUCCCGCAACGAGCGCAACCCUCGUUCUGUGUUGCCAGCACAUCAUGGUGGGAACUCACAGAAGACUGCCUGUGUAAAGCAGGAGGAAGGUGGGGACGACGUCAAGUCAUCAUGCCCCUUACGUUCUGGGCUACACACAUGCUACAAUGGCCGGUACAAUGGGCAGCGAAAUCGCAAGGUGGAGCGAAUCUCAAAAAACCGGUCUUAGUUCGGAUUGUAGUCUGCAACUCGACUACAUGAAGUUGGAAUUGCUAGUAAACGCAGAUCAGCUAUGCUGCGUUGAAUACGUUCUCGGGCCUUGUACACACCGCCCGUCACACCAUGAGAGUUAGAAACACCCGAAGCUGACGUACCAACCGCUUGCGGAGGUAGUUAUCGAAGGUGGGUUUAGCGAUUGGGGUGAAGUCGUAACAAGGUA
rnacentral:rRNA from 1 species